AUGAAUUCAUUGUUAAAGCUCUAGUACGUGUUAGAUUCAAACUCAAAAUAUCGUUGAAAGAAUUAAUCUGAUCCAAUUAAUUUUUAAUAAGUAAUUGGAUCGAGCUUCAAUCGCCAUCCUUCAUUAUGAUUAUUGAGAUUUGGAUUGCUUAUAGUAGAUAAAAUUAAGAUUGUUUGUAAUUGUAUUAAUUAUUUUACGAUAGCAUCUUGCGUAACAAAUGAAAAUAAACAUUUCUAGUUAUUAUGAUGAGACUAUUGAAUAGGGAAAAAAUUUCAUUGCAGUUUACCAGUACGGUGGAUAAUAUAAUAUACCAAAGAAAACAUCGAGAGAAUAAUAGUUUUGCAUCGAUGAACAUGAUGACAUCCGUAUCCUCUAGAUUUAUAUUCUGCCAGUUGGGACUUGAGAGAAUAAAUAUGCGAUUGAUUAAUAUGUGGGAAAUGAACAUCGCAGUAAUUAUUUUGAAGUUUUUCAUUGUUUAAUAGUUGAGUCAAAUAGCUUUUCGAAGAGCCGGAGAAAUAGGAAAGGUAUGAUGUCAGGACAGCGCUGAUCCUGUUUAUAUACGGUAUUUAGCAAGCAGAUGAAUUACAUAAUAAAUUUUUAAUACGAUAUUUAUAAAUUAUAAAUAAUAAUUUCGUGGAUGGUCAUGAAAAUAUAAAAUUUAUUUACUCGCGUAUCCCGGAGUUUGUGCUUUUCUUAUAUAUUUUUAAAUGAAAUGUAAAUUUUUUUAGUGUCGCUUUUAAGUUAAU